rnacentral:rRNA from 1 species
CAGCCUGAUGCAGCCAUGCCGCGUGUAUGAAGAAGGCCUUCGGGUUGUAAAGUACUUUCAGUUGUGAGGAAGGGUGUGUAGUUAAUAGCUGCGCAUCUUGACGUUAGCAACAGAAGAAGCACCGGCUAACUCCGUGCCAGCAGCCGCGGUAAUACGGAGGGUGCGAGCGUUAAUCGGAAUUACUGGGCGUAAAGCGCAUGCAGGUGGUUCAUUAAGUCAGAUGUGAAAGCCCGGGGCUCAACCUCGGAACUGCAUUUGAAACUGGUGAACUAGAGUACUGUAGAGGGGGGUAGAAUUUCAGGUGUAGCGGUGAAAUGCGUAGAGAUCUGAAGGAAUACCAGUGGCGAAGGCGGCCCCCUGGACAGAUACUGACACUCAGAUGCGAAAGCGUGGGGAGCAAACAGGAUUAGAUACCCUGGUAGUCCACGCCGUAAACGAUGUCUACUUGGAGGUUGUGGCCUUGAGCCGUGGCUUUCGGAGCUAACGCGUUAAGUAGACCGCCUGGGGAGUACGGUCGCAAGAUUAAAACUCA